UACAGAGGGGGCUAGCGUUAUUCGGAAUUAUUGGGCGUAAAGGGCGCGUAGGCGGCCACACAGGUCCGUUGUGAAAACUCGAGGCUUAACCUCGAGACGUCGAUGGAAACCGUAUGGCUAGAGUCCGGAAGAGGAGAGUGGGAAUUCCUGGUGUAGCGGUGAAAUGCGCAGAUAUCAGGAAGAACACCCGUGGCUAAGGCGGCUCUCUAGUACGGUACUGACGCUGAGACGCGAAAGCGUGGGGAGCGAACAGG
rnacentral:rRNA from 1 species